ACGACUGCUAAGACUGGAUAGGAAGAUAAAAGGCAUCUUGUAUCUUUUAAAAGACCUAGUUAAUAGGUAUGCUUUAGGAGGGGCUUGCGCCAUAUUAGUUAGUUGGUAGGGUAAUGGCCUACCAAGACGAUGAUGUGUGGCUGGACUGAGAGGUUGAACAGCCACAUUGGGACUGAGACACGGCCCAAACUCCUACGGGAGGCAGCAGUAGGGAAUUUUCGGCAAUGGAGGAAACUCUGACCGAGCAACGCCGCGUGAAUGACGAAGUACUUCGGUAUGUAAAGUUCUUUUAUCGAGGAAGAAAAGCAAAUGGCGAACCAUUUGUUUGCCGGUACUUGAUGAAUAAGCCCCGGCUAAUUAUGUGCCAGCAGCCGCGGUAAGACAUAAGGGGCAAGUGUUAUCCGGAAUUAUUGGGCGUAAAGGGUGCGUAGGCGGUCUAGUAAGUCAGUGGUGUGAUGGCAACGCUUAACGUUGUCCGGCUAUUGAAACUGCUAAACUUGAGUUAGAUAGAGGCGAGUGGAAUUCCAUGUGUAGCGGUAAAAUGCGUAAAUAUAUGGAGGAACACCAGAGGCGUAGGCGGCUCGCUGGGUCUUAACUGACGCUGAGGCACGAAAGCGUGGGGAGCAAACAGGAUUAGAUACCCUGGUAGUCCACGCCGUAAACGAUGAGUACUAAGUGUCGGGUUAAACCGGUACUGAAGUUAACACAUUAAGUACUCCGCCUGAGUAGUACGUACGCAAGUAUGAAACUUAAAGGAAUUGACGGGACUCCGCACAAGCGGUGGAUCAUGUUGUUUAAUUCGAAGAUACCCGAAAAACCUUACCAGGUCUUGACAUGUUUUUGCAAAAUGAUAGUAAUAUCGUGGGGGUUACCAGAAACACAGGUGGUGCAUGGUUGUCGUCAGCUCGUGUCGUGAGAUGUUAGGUUAAGUCCUAAAACGAGCGAAACCCUUAUCGUUAGUUGCCAGCACGUUAUGGUGGGGACUUUAACGAGACUGCCAAUGAUAAAUUGGAGGAAGGUGAGGAUCACGUCAAAUCAGCAUGCCCCUUAUGACCUGGGCUACAAACGUGAUACAAUGGCUGUUACAAAGGGUAGCUGAAACGCAAGUUCUUGGCCAAUCCCCAAAAACAGUCCCAGUCCGGAUUGAAGUCUGCAACUCGACUUCAUGAAGUUGGAAUCGCUAGUAAUCGCGAAUCAGCAUGUCGCGGUGAAUACGUUCGCGGGGUUUGUACACACCGC
rnacentral:rRNA from 1 species